rnacentral:misc_RNA from 1 species
AUAUAGAAGAGGUGGAAAAACACUAAAAUGGGUCCAAGAUGAAAGCAGAGGGAAAAAUAAGAAUUCAGUGGCAAAGUAAUUCAAUUCAACACAAGAAAAACAUUCGAAGAACACUAAUUCGAAGAACACUAAACAAAAAAACUCCUGUAUAAGCCAAAAGGCCAAAACAUAUAAAUAAACAUAAAGAAUGAGAAUAAAAGCAAUCAAUUGUUAGAUUGAAUUUCAGCUAAAGCUAUUGCAUUUGCAGAGAAGGCAAGUGGAUAGCAGAAUUGCAUGCAUUUGUAGAAUGAGA